rnacentral:rRNA from 1 species
UACGUAGGUGGCAAGCGUUGUCCGGAAUUAUUGGGCGUAAAGCGCGCGCAGGUGGUUUCUUAAGUCUGAUGUGAAAGCCCACGGCUCAACCGUGGAGGGUCAUUGGAAACUGGGGAACUUGAGUGCGGAAGAGGAAAGUGGAAUUCCAAGUGUAGCGGUGAAAUGCGUAGAGAUUUGGAGGAACACCAGUGGCGAAGGCGACUUUCUGGUCUGUAACUGACACUGAGGCGCGAAAGCGUGGGGAGCGAACAGG